UGUGUAAGUAGAGGAUCCGCCCUAAGGCGGCCGGUUAGCUCAGUUGGUUAGAGCGUGGUGCUAAUAACGCCAAGGUCGCGGGUUCGAUCCCCGUACGGGCCAUGUGCGCACUCUUUUCCCUUUUCUGUCCGCCACGUCCGCGUGGACUCUGCGGCCUCCCUCCCAGCGACAGACAGCCCAGAGUCGCCGCUGCUGAGCGGACUCGACAGGCCUUUGCUGACCUCGAGGAUGAAGGGCAGCUCCGCCACGGGUUGCGGAAACGCGCUGGAACCUGAGCGUGACCGCUCGCUGACAGCCUGCCAGGACGUCUCAGCCGCACACCUGCCUCGAGGAACCGGGCCUGCCACACCUUCCUGCCGGCCGGAUGAGCCCCCUGGGUUUUGUUUUUCUUGGAUGAGGUCAUAGCUUCACGUGGUAGGUAACUAAAUGGGUGUGUCCCCAGCCUGAACCUUUUUCACCCGUCACUGCUCACCACUGUCUCCCAGAUGUAACUCCUAUUCUGAGUUUCACGCGUAUGCUCCCUGAUGUCCUUAUGCGUGGAGAUGUAAAUAUGAAUAUAAAUGUUCCCUUUCUAGUUACACAAAAUGUCACAUUGUACACGCUAUUUUGCAUCGUGCUCUUUUCACUUGAGGUAUCUUGGAAGUAUGGGUUGAUCAUCAUAUAUCGAGUUCUCAAACAGCAUACUUAUAUAAUAUAUAUAGAAACAGAGCCCAUUUUCAGUUGAACUGGUCCAGCUAGCCAGAAGUUGAAGCUGAACUUUUGAAUCCAUUUUACCCCUGACUCAUGAAGUAUACAAGUAGGGCUGGCGAGAGGGCAGGAACAGGGCGCCUUUAAUUUUCUGUUAUAAUGUGAAUAAAACACAUUCUCUGAAUUUCCAAUAGUACUAAAGUAGCAGCGCCAAAACACACUGUUGAUCAAAAGAAGUUAUGUAUAGAUUUAUUCAAAGGCAAUUUUCAAAAAAAGGUAAAACUAGGACUCACAGAGAACAAAAAUGAGCCUGUUGUUAGACAAUAAGAUAUUUUCAAUUGUUUUAGCUCACAAAAGUGAAGUCUAUCAAAUUGUUACAACUCACAGCAUAGACUGAGGAAAGAGAAAGAGCUUCUUUGUAGAUCUAGAAGAUAGAACUCUGUAACAGCAUCAACAAUAUUCCAGACAAACAGACAAUAUCCCAGUCACCUCUCAGUCAGUCCUCUGUUAUUCUUGCUCCCCCAGAUCUUGAGUUAACAAUUAUAAGGGUAAAUGGAAAUUAUUUUCUCUGAUUAUAUAGCGAAAGUGCCCUUCUUCUACUCCCCCCCCCCCCACCUCCUUCCUUGCAGUGUUUCUUGAAUAUGUAGUGAAUCUGAGUCCUGACUCCAGGCUUCGGAAUAGAGAUCAAUGUCUCUAUGGAUGAAGUCCGGUCUUCAAUUUUUACCAUGCAGAGUAUCUCUAAGGUUGUGAGCCAACCUCUAGGUAUAUAAGAAUGUACCUCCAGAAUUAGGUCAGGACGCUCUCAGGAGAUUGACCGGAGACUCACAAGGUGCAGCCCUUUGCUUCUCAAGGAGAUAAAGAGAAGUCAAUAUUCUUUCUUCAGCUUUGCUGUAAACAAUGAGUCAGUGUUUAUACUUUUGUCAUCACUUUGGUGAUACCCUAUAUACAUGUAAGUACGGUAAAUACUUCAUUACGUGUCUUCUCUUUCUUCUAUUGAUAAGGAAGCAUCUUUCUGCUGGUGGGGUCAUUUUCUUUCCCCACCACAGUUUCAUGAACCCACACGCUUCUUGAGCAGAAUUCUGGAAAUCCAGACUCAGUAGGAUGGUUAUGGUCUUAAAGCUGUUGAAGCCACACCAUCAGGAGUGUGUAAGCAAGCCUAUCUGGUGUAGUCAUCUUUUCCUAAGAAGCUUUGAGAUGGUCUCUUUGUUGGAGAUGAAGCUGAUCGCAAGUCCUUUCCCAACAAAAUAACUAUAUAGGGCGAUGACAAAAGAUUUUAAAUGUUGUGAUUGAUUUAUUACUUAUGAUUUUCCAAGGCGAAAGGGCUGAUGAGAAUUCAUAACAACCAUAAUGCCACUAACAAGGAAUUCUGGUUGUUUCUGUGACAUGCAAAACAACAUAACAAAGCCAAUCCAAAAGAAGUUCUAGAUAAAAUAGUUGUAGACAUAAUGACCUAUCAUAUUUUCAAAGAAGAUAGAAAACACUGCAUUUAAUUUAUAGAAAUGGGUAAACAUAAUUUCCACAGAGAAAAAGUCUUGAAACGGACAUAUGCUACUCCUGAGACAUCCUAUGCCACAAACGUACAAGUCACAUAGUAGGAAUAUAAAAGGACGAUGUCAACAGUAUGAAGCAAAGAGGCUUGGUAAGUCGGGAGUAGGUUCUACAUAUUUAUACAUUAAAGACUUAUGAAUAAUAAGUGAUGUAAGUCCCCAAUUAAAACUCAGUAGCCCAGAAGAUGCUAGAUUCAAAUUAAAGAAGUAAAGUUGCGACUGAGUUUACAUAAAAGAAAUUGCUGGGAUUAUGACUGAUUACACUCUACCCCUGUUGUCUAUUAUCAACCAAACAACACCAGGAAUUUAUAUGUUGAUAGAAACAUCUCAUGGACAGUAAGAGCAAUGAUGAAUCUCCGGGAAUUUCCCAUUUGAUGUAAAGCUUCUGCAAUAUUUAUAUUAACAUUUUAUCCAUGCAAAUUUGACUUAGGGAAGACUAAGCCUUUCUCCUUCUCUUCUCUUCCCUCCUUCUUCUUCUUCUGAUUUUCAAGUCUUCUUGUGCAACUUAGCUAUAGUGACAUAUCAGAUAGCCGUGGUUCUUUCCAGCAUCUCUCUUUUUGCAGGGUGAAAGAAGAAAUCUUUAUGAUUUUCUAGGUACCUCCCAGGAAGUCUCAAAGACAGUGGUAGGUGGAAAAGAUAUCUUGAAAGUUUUAUUGUACAUUUAGGAUUUCAUUUGGAGAGGACAAAAAUUAAAAGUUGUCAGGCCAUUUGAACACUCAGGAGAAGAAUCAGAUCAUGGUUACUGGAGAAAACACUUGGCUACUUGUUUCAAAGUUACAAUAAGCAUGGAAGGUAACAUGAUUGUCAAGAACUGUAGCUCAUUCCUAUAUGAGGGAACUUUGUUGUCUCAAAUGAUUAAAGACAGCACAGUCAGCAUAAACUAAAAAAGGUUAUCUCUAAAAUACUGAAUAUUUGCUCUCCAAGAAGGGAAGACCAAAAAGGACCCUGUCAUAUUAUGGGGAAGGCAAGAAGCAGUAAACCAAAGAAACAUCAAAACAGACACAUCAAAACGAAGCAAACUUUCCUAGAUUUUAAUACAGUUCAUGGCUUUUAAAACUCAGGUAUUAUAAAUGAGGAUAAAUAAAUAAGGUUUUCAAAUUCUGUCCUUUGUUAUGCUCUUCCCCAUCCUGGGACACUUUGGCACUGUAUUUCAGGACUGGCUUCAGGAAUCUACAAGGUUGGAACUAAUUCCAUACUAUUACCAAGCUGUCCCCCACAUGGGUUGUGUUCCCCUUUGUUAUUGUCCAAUGAGUUAAUCAGUAGCAAUUGUAAACACUUGUGUUGGAACUGUUUGUAACAGAAGAAGCAUUCCAAGUUUGUAAUUUAGGUACUUAAAUCUCUGAUUUAAGUUUAUUCCGUUGUUUACAGGGCUUUUCAACAGCAGCUUUACACUUUCCAGUGUAAAGGAGCCUUGGAAUACCAAAAUUCUGACUGUUGCCCCAGAUGAGUGGACUGGCCCAUCAAAGCAUAAAAGCCAGGAACAGGAGACUCUUGAGAUGUAAGAGAAAUAAUCUGUCUGUUCCAGCAUGUACAGAAAUAGAUAAACAAACCAACCAUUAACAACCAUGUUUCACGAUUUGAUUUAUAAAUCUGUUUAAAACCCAAGGCAACUGCUUAUAAACUGCCAGACAGACUUAUUUUCAUAUAUUUUUCCUGUUGUGUGCAGCAUUUUUGUUUAUUUUGAUCUGCCGGUCUUGUUUUCUUGAAUUUGUUUUAGUCAUUAUCUUUCUAGGAAUAUUUCAUGUCAGCCCACUAUAGAAAAAAAAUCUUUACUGAAUCCAUUAUCUUGCAAAACUUAUAUGUUCUGUCAUUUCUCCUAACUUCCUUCCUCCUCUUCCUAAGUUUGGCCAAAGACAUAAGAGAGAGGACUCGGCUUUUUUAUCCAUCACGCAGACUGCGGGGGCCGGGGUAGUGGUCUGGGGGAUAUAUUAAUAAUGGUAUUAAUUAUGGAGGAGACUCCCUUUCAUCUGUUGUGAGUUUGAGGCAACCAGCAGUGUUAUGGAGGCAAAUUUGGCUUUUGGUUGUUCGCUUCAUGAUUUAGACAAGGAUUGACAGGUACCGAUAGCAUAUGUGUUCCUCCCUGAUGGAGCUUUUUGUAGGUAGAGGGCAGGAAUAAUAUUUUAAUAUAUGAUCUAUAGGUCUAAUGGUAUUUUCAACCUUCCCUGGAUUUAGUUUCUGCUGAGAGAGAAUACUGCAGUAUUAAAGUUACACGAGGCCUGUAACUGAUAGGGGAAGAAAGAUGAUCUGCCUGCCUUCUGCCUUUCUGAGAUCUUAGCUGAAACCCCUGUAAGGAAAGACGAGGAAGAGGAAAACAAACUGAAUUUGUUAACACAUUUACCAGGUAAAGGUGGGAGACACCCCAGGAAAGACAGGUAACUGUCCACGUGGCUCAGAAGUCCAGGUCAUGUAGCACCUUUAACAACGACUAUAAAUUGGUGGUGAAAUGAUGGAACAAAGGAAGGCAGAGUCAGGCCAAGGGCAAAGAUAAAAGUUAGUAAAGUUCGUGAUUUCAUUUCCAGGAAGACAGGCUCUGAAGUUGUCUCUGGGGAUUAACCUUUGUCUUUUCAGGUAGACAGGGAAGGAGGGACCUCUGUGUAAACCCCUGUCCUGCUUCUAGGCAGGUUGGGGGUGGGGCAGAGAACUUUUUGGGAAUCUGGUUCUUCUCACUUGCUUUCAGCUCACAAUAAUCCGUUUACCAAAGUGGCAGAUUUGGAUGGUAUUGUCUGACGCCCUUCAUCACCAUCUUUCUGUUCACAUCCCUUUGGAAGUUGGAAGGGGCAGAACAGCUAGGAAUAAAAGGAAGAUGAAACCAAGUUUACUCUGGAGUGUAGGUGGGAUUUCAGGCAUGGGGCAGGACCAGGUUAUAGUCAGUGAUUCUCAAGGAACUCCAGUCAUAACCUUUGAAAUCUCUUUACAUAAGAUGGAAGAGCCCAGUGCGUGGGGCAGUGCUACACACGUGUUUUAGCUUAUGAACUAAGAUAUCACCGAAGAUUCAAGUAUGUGACAGUCCCUUUGUGAUUUAUUUCUUCAAAAUGUCAUUGAGCCCCAGUCUUGUCCUUCAAACUCAGUGGCUUGUCUGAUGCACAAGGAUGACAGCUCUUAGGGUUGCCCAAAACCAGAAUGGUGAGAGUGUAAGUGUCCCACGCACUCCCUUACUUGUCCUCAUAAACCAUGAAUCUGACUCAAACCGGACUCCUUAGCUUAUUACUUCUUGGUCUGACCCUGACAACCGGACUCCGUCAUUGAGCUGAAAAUGUUGGUCGUCACAGAAUCAGAGACUGGAGACUGAACUUCCAAGACAGAGUGUGAGACGUUGCUUUCUAUCACCUACGGCAAGAGAACUGGUGCUCGGGGCCUAACCUGGACUUCCCUAUCAUCAGCAAAGCCAUCGCUUUGACCACCUACAGAAAUGUGACUCAUUUUCCCUUCAUCCCAACCCUCAUGAUGGGAUGCAAUUGCCUCGCAAGAGACUCUCCCCCGUUGGUAUAACAAUUGAACGUAGGCUUUACCUACCAUAUAAAUUCUUCAAGGCCUCUCCAACAUAUUCCAGGGCAAGGACACCGUUGAAAAUAGAAAACGAAACAAAGAAGGCCCCGCUGGGAUUCGAACCCAGGAUCUCCUGUUUACUAGACAGGCGCUUUGACCAGCUAAGCCACAGAGCCCCUUUUUGCAUUUAUGUUCAGUUAUAUCAUAUUUAUACCAUCUUCUGUGAAAUGUAGCAGUUUGUCAGAAAUUUACUUGAUUUUGUGGCAAAGGGAAGAUAGCUGUGUUUCUGAGAUUUUACUAAAACAGAAACUUCAACAUUUAAGAAAUGCAUUCUUCAAUGCAAGGUUUUAAAAAUUCCAAAUU